UGGGGUUGAAAGACAAAUGGAAAAGGUUU
rnacentral:piRNA from 1 species